AAGAUCAUACUUUCACAGUAUCAUUUCUAUAGUACAUCUUCGCAUACUCUCUACUCAAACGUAGAAUUGUUACAUUCAUAGAAUUAUUCCGAAUAAUCAAUUUUUUGAUGACAAAAUUAAAUUUGCCUAUUUUAUUAACUGAAACUUCAGGUAAAAAUGGUAAACCUCACUGGCAAACGUAGAGUUGUCGCAACCACGAUGACGAGUUGGAGUUUUUUGUCCUGAGCGUGAGGCAGACUUUUUUCAUUGAUCAUUCCAUAUCUUUGAAGUCAUCGAUGAUCGUUCAUCUGCGAAUUUAUUUCUCAGAAAUUGGACAAGAAACAAUCUGAGUGGU